rnacentral:rRNA from 1 species
CACUCCAGCCCUUUUUUUCCUUGUUGCUUCCGCCGGCCCGCCCCCUCCCUCCGCCGGGGGGCUCACGCCCCCCNCCCCACACCCUCCCAAAACUCCCUCGAAUUCUGUANCUAGAUUAAAAACUUAAAAAUAUUAAAAAUUAUUUAAAACUUUCAACAACGGAUCUCUUAACUCCGGCAUCGAUGAAGAACACAGCGAAUUGCGAAACUUAAUGAGAAUUGCAAAUUCUGAGAAUCAUCGAGUCUCCCAGCGCUCCUUGCGCCCCCUCGUAUUCCGGGGGCCUUUCCUCUCCCAGCGUCAUUUCUGCCCUCAAGCCCGGCUUCCGCGUCGGGCCCCGACCCCCGAUCUCGGGGGUACGGGCCCGAAAGGCUGCGGCAACCCCUCNNCCGGUCCUCUACGGAUGGGGCUUUGUCACCCGCCCCCAUUCCCGGCCGGCCCUUGGCAAUCAACCGAAUCCCAUCCAGGUUGACCUCGCAUCAGGUCGGAGAUACCCGCUGAACUUAAGCAUAUCAAUAGGCGGAGGAAG